AUUAAAAUCAGCACACUAAUCACAGUUUUAUGUUAAUCGCAAUAUGGACUGGUGCAAUAUCCAAAUCACAGAAGGGGGCAAUAUUUGUUAAAGG